GCUUGAAUAGUUUAAUGGUAAAACCUUAUUUUCAUACGAUAAUGUUAGGUGUUCGAAUCCCCUUUCAGGCU
rnacentral:tRNA from 2 species